rnacentral:lncRNA from 1 species
AGAGUUUUCCACAAAACACUCAUGCAUAUGAUUGGCUAUCGCCAGGUGGUGGCCAGGUACCACCUAACUUCUAGUAAUUCUCUCCAAAAAUAUAUAAAAUGCAGUAGUUCACACUUUGGACUUUAAAACAAAAAUAUAUAGAAUGCUGACCAAAUAACGGAAACCUAAUUAAUUGAACUGGCUUCUGAAUUUUCAGGGCAAUUAUUGUGAUAUAUAUAAUU